AUUGAACGCUGGCGGAAUGCUUUACACAUGCAAGUCGAGCGGCAGCACGGGGGCAACCCUGCUGGCGAGCGGCGAACGGGUGAGUAAUACAUCGGAACAUGCCCAGUCGUGGGGGAUAACACUUCGAAAGAAGUGCUAAUACCGCAUACGUCCUGAGAGAGAAAGCGGGGGAUCUUCGGACCUCGCGCGAUUGGAUUGGCCGAUGUCAGAUAGCUAGUUGGUGGGGUAAAGGCCUACCAGGGCAACGAUCUGUAGCUGGUCUGAGAGGAUGAUCAGCCACACUGGGACUGAGACACGGCCCAGACUCCUACGGGAGGCAGCAGUGGGGAAUUUUGGACAAUGGGGGCAACCCUGAUCCAGCCAUUCCGCGUGAGUGAAGAAGGCCUUCGGGUUGUAAAGCUCUUUCGGCAGGAACGAAACGGCGAGCUCUAACAUAGCUUGCUAAUGACGGUACCUGAAGAAGAAGCACCGGCUAACUACGUGCCAGCAGCCGCCGUAAAAC
rnacentral:rRNA from 1 species